rnacentral:sRNA from 1 species
CUGUCUGCUGAGGACAGAUGAAGUGGAUGUGCGUAUCGAAGCCUCCGGCAGUAACAAUCUUGUUCUCUCCCGCAAUGACAUCCGUAGAGGAGCCAAUAACCAUCUCUGGGUGAACACCAUCCAUUAUGUCUGGGUUUCCAGAUUUGCCAAUGCCGACAAUGACGCCAUUCCUGAUACCAAUAUCUGCUUUGUAGAUUCCAGUCCAGUCGAUAAUAAGUGCAUUCGUGAUGACGGUAUCCAGGCAGUCCUUCGAAGAUCUUGCAGAGGCUUGGCCCAUUCCCUCUCGAAUAG